rnacentral:rRNA from 1 species
GAGUUUGAUCGUGGCUCAGAUUGAACGCUGGCGGCAUGCCUUACACAUGCAAGUCGAACGGCAGCAUGAUCUAGCUUGCUAGAUUGAUGGCGAGUGGCGAACGGGUGAGUAAUACAUCGGAACGUGCCCUGUAGUGGGGGAUAACUAGUCGAAAGAUUAGCUAAUACCGCAUACGACCUGAGGGUGAAAGUGGGGGACCGCAAGGCCUCAUGCUAUAGGAGCGGCCGAUGUCUGAUUAGCUAGUUGGUGGGGUAAAGGCCCGACCAAGGCGACGAUCAGUAGCUGGUCUGAGAGGACGAUCAGCCACACUGGGACUGAGACACGGCCCAGACUCCUACGGGAGGCAGCAGUGGGGAAUUUUGGACAAUGGGCGAAAGCCUGAUCCAGCAAUGCCGCGUGUGUGAAGAAGGCCUCGGU